UAUUAAAAGUUCUAUCUAUUUGUACAGUUAAAAAUUGACAUAACUAAUGGACUAACCAUACAGUAACAUGUGGCGUACCAUGUAUACUUCAUGUUAACGUACGAGAAUCGAUUUUUAACAAUAGAAAUAAAUAAAAUUUUUAAUA
rnacentral:pre_miRNA from 1 species